AAGUUCGUCCCCACCAACAUGCGUGUCACUGUCCAGAUGAAUACUACAGAGCUGCUGGUUGUUCACCUGUGUCAUAAUGAUGAGAUGUUUAAAUGCUCUGCCUUGAUGGACCCGCGAUCAAACCAGCGAAGAAUACAAUUUCAUGAAUACACAGGGCUAUGUCCAUGAAUGGCCUCUGCCAGUGUCUCGAUUCUACAGGAGCUCCUACCACUUCCGCUCAGCAGUGGCUG